UACGUAGGGGGCUAGCGUUGUCCGGAAUCAUUGGGCGUAAAGAGCGUGUAGGCGGCCCGGUAAGUCCGCUGUAAAAGUCAAAGGGCUCAACCUUUGAAUGUCAGUGGAUACUGCCGGGCUAGAGUCCGGAAGAGGCGAGUGGAACUCCUGGUGUAGCGGUGGAAUGCGCAGAUAUCAGGAAGAACACCAACGGCGAAGGCGGGUUGCUGGGCUGAUGACUGACGCUGGAGGCGCGAAAGCCAGGGAGCGAACGGG
rnacentral:rRNA from 1 species